AAAAAAAAUAGGAAAGGGGUUUUGGGGUUUCUCUGGGGUCCCCUUCUCCAGCGAUCGGACCACCGUCCGUCUGUCGCCGACGACCACCGCAUGCGGUGGCCGGAGGUACAAAACUGGCCCCUUUCACCCUUUUUCCCUUCCUCGACUCAAAUCCUGAGUCCAAACACUCAAAAGAAGCCCCGCAAGCCGAUAGAACGUGAAGGAACCUCUCAGUUUUCAAACCUUCUAACCGCCGAAAACGGGUAAAGUGGGUUGUAUUUCUGUUUCUAUUUGCGCAUACGAUAUUUGACAAAACAACAGGAUAUGAAAAUAUCUCUUCAAUUUUCAAUUGAUGCUUUCGUAUAUACCCAAAUGAAAAUAAAAGACUCGAGAAUAAAAGCAUGAAAAGAUAGAGGAAAUCACCUCCCGAAAUUUGUUUUUGUGUUCGUUAUGUGCGUGUGUAUUACAGUGUUUUUUUUUUGCAUUCCAAAAUCCCCCUUUGAAUUAGAGGUGUGCAUGGGCCGGGCCGGGCCCACAAAAAAUUUCGGACCUAUUUUCUAGGCCCGGGCCUGGCCCGGCCAGAAAUAUGGGCCUAAAAAUUUGUCCAAGCUCGACCCGAAAUAAAAUUGUUAAGCCCGAGCCCGGCCCGGCCCAUAUUAAUUUUUUUAACUUAUUUUAUUAAAUAAAAAUUUUAAAAUAUAUUAAAUAAUAAAAUAUAUUUAAAACAAAUAUUAAAACAAGAAACAAAUAAAAAAAUAUAUUAAAACAAUACACAAAUUAAAAAAUAUAAUAAAAAUUGAUUAUAUUAAAAUUAAAAUUAAAAUAUAAAUAUAAUUAAAAAUAAAAAAUAUAUUUAUUAUAUAAUUCGGGCCGGGCCAAGCCGGGCCCGGGCCAAAAAAAUUGUACUCGAGCCCGGCCCAUUUUCUAAACGGGCCUCGUUUUUGUGCCCAAACUCAUAUUUCGGGCCUAUAUUUUUACCCAAACCCUCCCAUUUUUCGGGCGGGCCUUCGGGCAGGGCCGGGUAGCCCGACCCAUGCACACCUCUACUUUGAAUACACUGAUUUUCGAGGCUCUUAUAGCCUAAUAUUACAAUAUAUUUACUCCUUUUUUGUCCUAUUUCUCUGCUCUGUUGUCUUUGUUGCGUGUUUGUCUCUCUUUUGUAGGUGAUGGAAUGGGAGCAGGUGGCUGCUUUGUUGGUCAGGCCUCGAGCGUUGAAUGUGCUGACCAGGCACGUGGGGAGCGGCGGCUGAAAGUUUCAGAAACCCUAGGGUUUCCUGGUUUAGUCUUUUGGGCCUAUUGGGGCCAAUAGGAAUUGGGUCAGAUUUUUUGUAAAAUGGGUUUGAGUUUAUUGGGCUUGGAUUUGUAAAAUGGAUUGUUAACAAUUGUUCGGUUUGGGACUGUUCAGCCCGGGCCAAAAUUGGGCUCUACAAUCUUAUCGUAGGAAUUUAUAUUUGAUGGUUUUGAUGCCCAUCAAUAUGGUCAAUCAGUAAUAGAGAAUCAGUUAGAUUGUGGAAUGAUGAUUGGGUUCUUGAUAUUGGGCAAUUUUGCAAGGUGUACGUUGGUGAUAGUGUGCGAGAUGAUGGCAUUUUGGUACGAGAUCUCGUUGCUGUAAGGGGCUAUGGAGAUAGGACAUUCCUAGUUCUUGGUUUAACAGCAAUGUUUUGUCUCACAUUGCCAACAUCAAACCUUCAAUUGUAAGAUAUAGCGUGGAUGUUUGUAUUUGGCGUUGGCAUCGAGGAUGUGUGGAAAGAUUUUCGACCAAGGGGGCAUAUGAAUACCUCAUGAAGAGCAAAUGGGAUGCAAAUCUCAAGCAUUUGGAGAAGGUUAGUUCUUUACGGAACAUAUGGCUGCAUAGAAAUAAAUAUAUUUUUACAGAUGAUGUAUUGAGUGGAGCGUUGCGUAGUGAGGGUGAAUGGUGUGAAUGCAAUGCAAAACCAUCAAUAGUUACUGCUGGUUCUAGACUGAAGAAUGUGCCCUCUUUCUCGUUAAAACAAAAUUGUAUACAAUAACAUUUUUUGGUUAUUUGGUUUAUAUAAAUUUGUUAAAAAUAUGUUAAACUACAAUUUUAUUAAUAAUAUGUAUAAUGUUUUUAUUUUUACA
rnacentral:lncRNA from 1 species